AUUAUUAUUUUUGGAAAUUAAUAAUGUAUUUCGUUUUUUAAUUAAAUUUAAUUAAUUAAAUUAGUAUUUGACUUUUUAAUCCUUAAAGAGAUAAAUUAAUUUACUCUUUAAAAUUUUAUUUCUAAUGGCAAACCUAUGUAAUUACUUACAAAAAUUAAGGUUACAUUUAAAAUGUACUUCCCAAAUAAUAUAGUAGGAUAUUUU
rnacentral:sRNA from 1 species